GGCGAAAUUGUAGUGCAAGUGAAGAUGCUUGCUACCCGCGAUUGGACGGAAAGACCCCGUAGAGCUUUACUGUAGCUUAGCAUUGAAUCUCGGUAUUGUCUGUACAGGAUAGGUGGGAGACUUGGAAGCUUGGGCGUCAGCCUGAGUGGAGUCAUCCUUGGGAUACCACCCUGACAGUACUGGGGUUCUAACCGGCGGCCAUGAAUCUGGUCACGGGACAUUGUUAGGUGGGCAGUUUGACUGGGGCGGUCGCCU
rnacentral:rRNA from 1 species